rnacentral:rRNA from 1 species
UACAGAGGUCUCAAGCGUUGUUCGGAUUCAUUGGGCGUAAAGGGUGCGUAGGCGGCGCGGUAAGUCGGGUGUGAAAUCUCGGGGCUUAACUCCGAAACUGCAUUCGAUACUGCCGUGAUUGAGGACUGGAAGAGGGAGACUGGAAUUUACGGUGUAGCGGUGAAAUGCGUAGAUAUCGUAAGGAAGACCGUGGCGAAGCGG